UGGGGAUAUAGCUCAGUUGGUAGUAGCGCUGCUUUUGCAAGGCAGAUGUCAGCGGUUCGAGUCCGCUUAUCUCCAUC
rnacentral:tRNA from 1 species